CCUACGGGAGGCAGCAGUGAGGAAUAUUGGUCAAUGGACGAGAGUCUGAACCAGCCAAGUAGCGUGAAGGAUGACUGCCCUAUGGGUUGUAAACUUCUUUUAUAUGGGUAUAAAAUGUUCCACGUGUGGGAUUUUGUAUGUACCAUAUGAAUAAGGAUCGGCUAACUCCGGGCCAGCAGCCGCGGUCAUACGGAGGAGCCGAGCGUUAUCCGGAUUUAUUGGGUUUAAAGGGAGCGUAGGUGGAUUGUUAAGUUAGUUGUGAAAGUUUCCGGCUCAACCGUAAAAUUGCAGUUGAAACUGGCAGUCUUGAGUACAGUAGAGGUGGGCGGAAUGCGUGGUGUAGCGGUGAAAUGCUUAGAUAUCACGAAGAACUCCGAUUGCGAAGGCAGUUCACUGGACUGCAACUGACACUGAGGCUCGAAAGUGUGGGUAUCAAACAGGAUUAGAUACCCCAGUAGUC
rnacentral:rRNA from 1 species